GACAGAGGAGGCUAGCGUUGUUCGGAAUCACUGGGCUUAAAGCGGGUGUAGGCGGCUGCGCAAGUGUCCUGUGAAAGCCCCCGGCUCAACCGGGGAACGGCAGGGCAAACUACGUGGCUUGAGGCUGGUAGAGGUGCCUGGAACUCUCGGUGGAGCGGUGAAAUGCGUAGAUAUCGAGAGGAACGCCAGAGGCGAAAGCGGGGCACUGGGCCAGUUCUGACGCUGAGACCCGAAAGCGUGGGGAG
rnacentral:rRNA from 1 species